rnacentral:rRNA from 1 species
UACGGGGGGGGCAAGCGUUGUUCGGAAUUACUGGGCGUAAAGGGCUCGUAGGUUGCCAACUAAGUCAGACGUGAAAUCCCUCGGCUUAACCGGGGAACUGCGUCUGAUACUGGAUGGCUCGAGUUUGGGAGAGGGAUGCGGAAUUCCAGGUGUAGCGGUGAAAUGCGUAGAUAUCUGGAGGAACACCGGUGGCGAAGGCGGCAUCCUGGACCAACACUGACACUGAGGAGCGAAAGCCAGGGGAGCAAACGGG